GUUAAAAGAAGAGUUGCAUAGCAAUGCAGUGACACAGUUGCUUCAGUCAUUGCUGAUGACGGACCAAAGUGCACAGGGGCCAUCUGACUUGUA